ACCGUGGUAAUUCUAGAGCUAAUACAUGCUGAAAAUCCCGACUUCGGAAGGGAUGUAUUUAUUAGAUUAAAAACCAAUGCCUCUGGGCUUGCUGGUGAUUCAUGAUAACUGCGCGAAUCGCACGGCCUUGCGCCGGCGAUGGUUCAUUCAAAUCUCUUCCCUAUCAACUUUCGAUGCGAUGAUCUGGUCAUCGCAUGGUUACAACGGGUCGGAGGGUUGGCUUGACCCCGGAGAAGGAGCCUGAGAGACGCUACUACAUCCAAGGAAGGCAGCAGGCGCGCAAAUUACCCAAUCCCGACACGGGGAGGUGACAAUAAAUACUGAUACAGGGCUCUUUUGGGUCUUGUAAUUGGAAUGAGUACAAUUUAAAUCCCUUCGAGGAACAAUUGGAGGGCAAGUCUGGUCCAGCAGCCGCGGUAAUUCCAGCUCCAAUAGCGUAUAUUAAAGUUGUUGUGGUUAAAAAGCUCGUAGUUGAACCUUGGGCCUGGCUGGCCGGUCCCCCUCACCGGGUGCACUGAUCCAGCCGGGCCUUUCCCUCUACGGAACCCAUGGCCUUCACUGGCCGUGGCGGGGAAGUAGGACUUUUACUUUGAAAAAAUUAGAGUGCUCCAGGCAGGCCUAUGCUCGAAUACAUUAGCAUGGAAUAAUAGAAUAGGACGCGUGGUUCUAUUUUGUUGGUUUCUAGGACCGCCGUAAUGCUUAAUAGGGACAGUCGGGGGCAUCAGAUUCAAUUGUCAGAGGUGAAAUUCUUGGAUCUAUUGAAGACUAACUACUGCGAAAGCAUUUGCCAAGGAUGUUUUCAUUGAUCAGGAACGAAAGUUAGGGGAUCGAAAACGAUCAGAUACCGUUGUAGUCUUAACUAUAAACUAUGCCGACUAGGGAUCGGACGAUGUUAUUACUUGACUCGUUCGGCACCUUUCGAGAAAUCAAAGUGCUUGGGCUCCAGGGGAGUAUGGUCGCAAGGCUGAAACUUAAAGGAAUUGACGGAAGA
rnacentral:rRNA from 1 species